rnacentral:rRNA from 1 species
UACGUAGGUGGCGAGCGUUGUCCGAAUUUACUGGGCGUAAAGAGCGCGCAGGCGGUCGUACAAGUCGCGUGUGAAAGCCCCCGGCUCAACUGGGGAGGGUCACGCGAUACUGUUCGACUCGAAGGCAGGAGAGGGUAGUGGAAUUCCCGGUGUAGUGGUGAAAUGCGUAGAUAUCAGGAGGAACACCGGUGGCGAAGGCGGGUCUCUGGGCCGUAACUGACGCUGAGGAGCGAAAGCAUGGGGAGCGAACAGG